rnacentral:rRNA from 1 species
CACAUGCAAGUCGAACGGUCCAUCUACGGGUGGAUAGUGGCGGACGGGUGAGUAACACGUAGACAACCUGCCUCAUAGUGGGGAAUAACUAUCCGAAAGGGUAGCUAAUACCGCAUGAGUUCUACUCUGUUAGGAGUAGAAGAAACCUCUUUACGGAAGUAAAGGGGGCUAAGAGAGGGGUCUGCGGCGGAUUAGCUAGUUGGGUAGGUAACGGCUGCCCAAGGCGACGAUCCGUAGCUGGUCUGAGAGGACGGCCAGCCACACUGGGACUGAGACACGGCCCAGACUCCUACGGGAGGCAGCAGUGAGGAAUAUUCCACAAUGGGCGAGAGCCUGAUGGAGCGACGCCGCGUGAGGGAAGACGCCUUUCGGGGUGUAAACCUCUUUUAUUGGGGAUGACACGAUGGGGUAACUUCACUUCCUCGCAAGAGGGAGAGGAGAAAGACCGCAUCUAGGACAGUACCCAAUGAAUAAGCCUCGGCUAACUACGUGCCAGCAGCCGCGGUAAUACGUAGGAGGCGAGCGUUGUCCGGAUUUACUGGGCGUAAAGGGCGCGCAGGCGGCACGCUAAGUAUUUUGUGAAAUCUCCCUGCUCAACGGGGAGAGCGCGAAGUAAACUGGCGAGCUAGAGGACGGUA